CAACGGGAGAGGCCCAGCCAAUUUCCAUGUAGGUAUUCACAACAAUCAAAAUCAAUAUGCUGCUGGAAAUGGCUACCAUGGCGGACACGGUGCUGCUCAACAAAGCGGAGGUCAUGGUGGUGCUCAGCAAGGUGGUCAUGGUGGUGCUCAGCAAGGCGGUCAUGGUGGUGCUCAAGGAGGUCAUGGCGGUGCUCAAGGAGGACAUGGUGGCGCUCAGCAAGGUGGUCAUGGUGGUAAUCAAGGGGGACAUGGUGGUGCUCAAGGAGGACAUGGUGGCGCUCAAGGAGGACAUGGUGGAGCUCAGCAAGGCGGUCAUGGUGGUGCUCAAGGUGGCCACUAUGGAUCAUUCUGGCAAGGAGCUCAACAAGGAGGUCAAGGAGGUGCUCAAGGAGGACAGGGUGGUGCCCAGGGAGGACAUGGCGGUGCCCAAGGAGGACAAGGUGGUGCUCAAGGAGGACAAGGUGGUGCUCAAGGAGGACAUGGUGGUCAUGGUGGUGCUCAGGGAGGACAAGGUGGUCAUGGUGGUGCCCAAGGAGGACAGGGCGGUGCUCAAGGAGGACAAGGCGGUGCUCAGGGUGGACAUGGAGGUCAUUUUGGUGCCCACUGGCAAGGAGUGUUUGGACAGCAAGGAGGAGCCGGUGGACAAGGUGGUGCCCAAGGAGGUCAACACGGUGCUCAAGGAGGAGCUCAAGGAGGAGCUCAAAGAGGCCAUGGUUCACCUGGUGCAUAUACUAAUAUGCAUGUUGACAUUCACAACAACCAGAAUCAAUACAGCGGUGGAAACGCCAAUCAAUACCAAGGUCUUAACAACAAUGUCAAUCUUAACAAUAAUGCUGGCCCUAGCUCUAGAUACCCUGCUGGUCAACCUAAGAUGCCCAAAGCUCCCAAAGGUACCAAGACCACCAGCACCGAAGAAAUCUGGACCAAAAGGCGGAGCUCCAAAAGAUCCCAAGAAGACACACAUUUACAUCAAUUUCCACGCUCCAAUUGAGAAUGGUUUCUACCCUGCCGUAAAUGCCGGGCAUGGAGGACCUCAACCAAAGGCUCCUGGAGGAGCUACACCCAAAAAGGGACCAAGACCAAAGGGACCUAAAGCAAAAUCACCAAAGAAAGGACCAAAGAAGGGACCCAAAAAAUCACCUAAGAAAGGAGGCGCGCCCAAGAAAGGCCCCAGGCCAAAGUCUCCUCAACCUAAAGCUAAGGGACCUAAAGGACCCAAAGGACCUAAAAAGGGCGCAAGACCUCCAAGCGGCGGACCUCAGCCCAAAGGCGGACCCCAGGGAGCAUACAAACAAAAAACAACCUUCCAUCAACUCCAACAUGGUAAAAUCCCAAUCAACUUGGUCAUCAACAACAACUUCCCACAGAAUAUGAUGAACAUCCACGGAAACGGCAAUAACGCUGGCGCGACUGCUCUCCAUGCACCAAACAACAACGCAGGAGGUCACCAGGGUGCCAGCUACAACGGACAAUCUGCUCACGGACAGCAAACACAAGGAGGUCAAGCUGGAGGACAAGGUCAAGGUCAACAAGGCGGCCACGGGCAGCAGGGUGGUGCUCAAGGACAACAACAAGGAGGCAGACACGGUCAACAGCAAGGCGGACAACAAGGCGGUGCUCACGGUCAACAACAAGGAGCCUCUCACGGGCAACAAAGCGCCGGGCAAUACAAGGCGCAUUACAGUUCAAAGAAAAUAGUCCAUGAAACAGUCUUGCCUAAAAACCGGGUCAAGAUUGUUGGAAACAAAAACAAAGUUCGUACAUUCGCUGGUUUGGAGAACCAACUUCAGAACCUUCCCCAGGGCUCUACAGUGAAAGGACCACAAGGAUCUCAAGGUGGACAAGGGCAAGGACCAUCAGCAAGCGUUAACGUUCACAUGCAACAACUUUUGCAACUUCUUUCCAACACUCACGCAGGUCAGGGAGGACACGGUGCUAGUCAAGGCGGAAGUCAGGGUGGACACGGAGGAAGUCAGGGUGGACAGGGAGGAAGUCAGGGAGGACAAGGUGGAAGUCAGGGAGGUUCUCAUGGCAGCGCUUAUGACAUUUACGCACAACAACAGAUGGCAUUCCAAGCUUCACAAGGCGGAAGUCAGGGUGGUGGCCAAGGAGGAAGUCAAGGCGGCGGUCAAGGAGGAAGUCAAGGUGGCGGUCAAGGCGGAAGUCAAGGAGGUUCCCAAGGCAGCGCUUAUGAUAUGUACGCUCAACAACAGCAACAAAUGCAGGCUGGACAACAAGGAGGACAAUAUGGUCAGCAACAGCAACAACAAGGUGGUCAACAACAACAACAGCAACAACAGGGCGGUUAUCAACAGCAACAGCAGCAACAACAGCAGGGCGGCCAACAGGGAGGACAGCAAAGCAUGAUGAUGUCUCAAAUCAUGGAACUGGCUCAACAGGUUCUCGCCGGAGGACAAGGAAGCUUACCACCAGCCACACAGCAAAUGCUUGACGCUCUUAUCGCUCAAGGAAACGCUGGUCAACCUAUCGCCCCAGACCAGAUCAAUAUGAUGAUCGAAGCUCUCACUUCUCAAUUACAGAGCACGAAUUUCCUGGGAAUCGGUGGCCAGGCUGCAGGUAGCCAAGCGUCUUCCUAUGCUGCAUCCAGCGGUCAUCACGCCAGUGCACACCAAAGUAGUUAUUCCGCCGGGCAUCACCAACAGUCAGGAAGCUAUGCAGCUAGCCAGGGCCAAGGAAUGCAGUUCAUCGAUCCUGUUACCAACAGCGCUGUUCCAGCCGUCGACUUCCUGGGAGGCAUGCCUCAAAUGGCUCUCUUUGAAGCUGGCUCAGUCGUUGUUCAUAAGAAAAAGCCUUAAAUCAGGGGAAGAAAAACAGCUACCAAAAAAAUGAACCACCAACAUCUGUCAGCCAUUGUUAGGGGAAGCUAGGGCUUGAGUCUUUCGUUGUUAUUUAUUUUCGAUUUUACCCUGC
rnacentral:sRNA from 1 species